UAGUCCACGCCGUAAACGAUGUCAACUAGCCGUUGGGUCCAUUUAAGGGCUUAGUGGCGCAGCUAACGCGAUAAGUUGACCGCCUGGGGAGUACGCCGGCAACGGUAAAACUCAAAUGAAUUGACGGGGGCCCGCACAAGCGGUGGAGCAUGUGGUUUAAUUCGAUGCAACGCGAAAAACCUUACCUACCCUUGACAUCCUCAGAACUUGUUAGAGAUAACUUGGUGCCUUCGGGAACUGAGUGACAGGUGCUGCAUGGCUGUCGUCAGCUCGUGUCGUGAGAUGUUGGGGUUAAGUCCCGCAACGAGCGCAACCCCUUGUCCCCUAGUUGCCAGCACAUAAUGGUGGGAACUCUAGGAAGACUGCCGGCGUAAGCCGUGAGGAAGGUGGGGACGACGUCAAAUCAUCAUGGCCUUUAUGCCUAGGGCUACACACGUGCUACAAUGGUGCAUACAACGGGUAGCGAAAUCGCGAGGUGGAGCUAAUCUUGUAAAGUGCAUCCCAGUUCGGAUCGG
rnacentral:rRNA from 1 species